UCCUCGUGGUAACAGUGUGAUGUGAACUGUGUGGUACUGUACUGCACUUGUCACUGUUCAUGGAGUCCGAACAGCUGGAUUAGUACUGUACAUAGACCGUCGUUUUUUGGAGCAGAGGGGCUUGCCUGUGAACUGACCUACUGACCGACUCAUAGAACAAUUAAAACAUUACCAAGAGUCUUACGUUAAUCCACCCAACUGGGGGGGAAAGCUCAGAGGGUACCCAGCUAUGGCACAGUGUGAUGACGUCACCUAUUCUGAACUGGAACUCAACCAAUCAAGUGGCAGAAUGAAGCAGGAAAGGAAAAAAGCUAUGGCACAGUGUGAUGACGUCACCUAUUCUGAACUGGAACUCCACCCAUCGAGAGGCAGAAAGAAGCAGGGAAGGA